rnacentral:rRNA from 1 species
GUCGAACGCGUGUAGCAAUACACGAGUGGCGAAAGGGCGAGGAAUAGAUUCCUACGUACCCCGGAGUCAGGGAUAACCAUCGGAAACGAUGGCUAACACCUGAUGAUCUCGAAAGAGCAAAGUUUACGCUCUGGGAGCGGGGAAUCUCCUAUCAGCUAGUUGGUGAGGUAAUGGCUCACCAAGGCUUAGACGGGUAGCGGGUGUGAGAGCACGGCCCGCCGCAUCGGGACUGAGACACUGCCCGGACUCCUACGGGAGGCUGCAGUAACGAAUCUUCCGCAAUGCACGAAAGUGUGACGGGGCAAUGCCGCGUGUGGGAUGAA